rnacentral:rRNA from 1 species
AAGCCUGCUCCUCUUAAAUAAAUUAGUAGGGUCCUUUUACCAGCCCUUUUGACGUGAUAAGUAUUUCUACGUCCCAAGGCUUGGCUCUUUAGACCCGCUUCUAAUCGUCUCUCUGAGACCCCGUUAUUUUGAACCAUUUGACCUCAAAUCGGGUGAGACUACCCGCUGAACUUAAGCAUAUCAAUAAGCGGAGGAAAAGAAACUAACAAGGAUUCCCCUAGUAACUGCGAGUGAAGCGGGAAAAGCUCAAAUUUAAAAUCUGGCGGUCCUUGGCCGUCCGAGUUGUAAUUUAGAGAAGCGUCUUCCGCGCCAGACCGUGCAAAAGUCUCCUGGAAUGGUGUGUCAUAGAGGGUGAGAACCCCGUCUUUGGCACGGUUUCUUGGUGCUUCUGUGAUGCGCUCUCGAAGAGUCGAGUUGUUUGGGAAUGCAGCUCAAAAUGGGUGGUGAACUCCAUCUAAAGCUAAAUAUUGGCGAGAGACCGAUAGCGAACAAGUACCGUGAGGGAAAGAUGAAAAGCACUUUGGAAAGAGAGUGAAACAGUACGUGAAAUUGUUGAAAGGGAAACGCUUGAAGUCAGUCGCGUUGAACAAGACUCAGCCUUGCCCUCGGCUUGGUGUUCUUCUUGACUUUAACGGGCCAGCAUCAAUUUUGUCCUUUGGAUAAUGUCAAGAGAAAGGUGGCACCCUUACCGGUGUGUUAUAGUCUCUUGUCGCAUACGGGGGAUGAGAUUGAGGAUCUCAGCACGCGCCUACUUGGUGCCGGGGCUUUGGCCCACGUUACGUGCUAGGA